rnacentral:rRNA from 1 species
CACGGGGGAGCAAGCGUUGUUCGGAAUCACUGGGCGUAAAGGGCGUGUAGGCGGUCAAGUAAGUGGAAUGUGAAAUCCCCGGCUUACCCGGGACCGGCAUCCCGAUACUGCUUGGCUUGAGGUACGGGAGAGGAUGUGGGAAUUCCUGGUGUAGCGGUGAAAUGCGUAGAUAUCAGGAGGAACACCCAUGGCGAAGGCAGCAUACUGGGCCUGUACUGACGCUGAGACGCGAAAGCGUGGGGUAGCAAACGGG